rnacentral:lncRNA from 1 species
CCCAUGGAAUGGAAUAAAAAACAAGGGAAUGGAAUGUAUUUCUAUUCAUCUGAUGGUAUGAGUAACCACAUACACUUUUUUUUCAUUCCAUUCCAUCCCGACGUUCAUUCCUUCGAUCUCUGGAAACAUAAGAUCAAUUCAAAACAAAGACAAAAAAUGAAAAAGCAGCAGCCAACUACUGUUUCAAAUUUGAGAAUACACAUAUUUUCUAGCUGAAUUUUACUAUAUAUCAAAAAACAAAACAUACAAAGUAUUUCAGCAAAAAUAAAGAUUAAAAAAACGUUCAAAUAACGAAUCCCUAAAAAUUAAACAUAAACAGGGAAGAAAUAUUAAAUUUAAACAAACUUGGAAGUUAAUUUUCGUAUUCCCAUAAACAAUUGCCAACCAAUUCUACUCGGUGAUGAAAUCAAAAAGGCAUUCCGCAGAGAAAAACAAACCAUACCACGUUUUUCAAUAAAACGUAGUCGUUUCCCCAUUUGGAUGAUUUUGAGCUUCACCUUCAGACCUUCAAACAGAUAGAAAGAGAAGGGGAGUGGGUUUAGUUAGGGUUUAGGGUUAAAGAUGAAUUGAAAUCUAUAACGACAAGGAAAAUAACGUUCGGACAAGUAAAGUUGAAUUACAUACUAUAUAAGAAAAUUUCUUUCCUUUCCGAAAGAUAAUUUAAGUUCAAAUUUGAAUAAUUUUUCUUCAAAAAAAAACAGGAAAAAAGGGAGUACUACAGUGAUUGUAUUCAGAUUGAAUUCAUACGAAGCACCCAAAAAAAAUUCAUGUUCUGAAUAUUCACAAAAAAGAUAAUCUAGCAUGACAUGAACCACAAAUCGAAAAACUCACUGAAUGAAAAUUUGAAGUUUUGUUGCCAAUUGAAGGGUUUGCUCGGAAUCUCAGGGUUUGUUCUGAAUCGCCUCGCGAUGCUUUUACCUUAGGGCUGCUGGAAUUCACAUUACAAUCCGUUAGAAAUUCUAGCAGGGGCAGUAUAUUUUUUG